ACGAUGAACCAGGCGAUCGCCCUGUUCCCGUGGACGCCGCGGCCGUGCCGCCCGGCGCGCUUUGGGGGCCGGGAGGAAAGUCCGGACUCCGCAGGGCAGGAUGCCGGGUAACGCCCGGGGCCGCAGUUUCGGACGCCGCAAGACGUGCGGAACUGCGGUACAGAAAGCGCAACAGAAAACAAACUACCCCGGGCGGGGAAUCCUGUCCGGGGAAAAGGUGAAAAGGCGGGGUAAGAGCCCGCCGCGGCGGCGGUAACGGCGCCGGCACUGCAAGCCUCAUCCGGAGCAAAGUCAAACAGCCGCGGCGAAGGCAGACGCCUUCACGAACGGCCCGUUCGGGCGCGGCGGGUAGACCGCAAAGAGCCUUUCGGCAACGAAAGGCCAAGACAGAUGAUCGCGGGUUUUGCCGCAAGGCGGAACCAACAGAAUCCGGCUUAUGGUUCAUCGUUUUU
rnacentral:RNase_P_RNA from 1 species